rnacentral:misc_RNA from 1 species
GUUUGACAAAGAAGGCUUCUUAAGAGAUGAAAAGGCGCUGUCUUUGGGUACAAAGAUGGUAAUGCCUUCUUCUGUGUUGUUGGCUUGGUUUUGGAAAGUGUCAAUUACCUUGGUGGAUUCAAGGUAAUUAAGGAAUGUAUGGAAUGGACCAGCAACAGAAAGUAAAUCAGUGAGAUUCACAUAAGGAGGUAUUGGUGCUGGAGCUGGAGCUGGAGUUGGAGGCAGGAUUGGUGCUGGAGGACUAGCAGCAUGAACAUUUGUUGGUGAACUGACCAAAAACAGUAGUGUACUGCUAAACAUAAAAAUCAUGGAGAACUCCAUGGUUUUCAGAAAGUUUAUGUAACAAUUUGUGGAACACUCUCCAAAUUCCUGACCAAGAGGAAUUCAGAGAGAAAUGGAAGAGAUGGUGGGGGAUGCCAAAGCUAAGUUGCCAAAUUGCC